GCACAGCUUGGUCGUCAGUCUCCUGAAACACUAAAACAAUAAAGCUGACAACAUAAGGAAGUAGAUUAGGAGUCCUCGGUCAUCAAAAUGUGGAGCAUAUGUGAAACCUAUGAAAUCUAUUGCUCUUUGAGAAAUCAUUCCAUAGAUGUUUGCUCUUAUAUAGAAAUGGAAACCAAAGCAUCUGGCAGUGGCAUGGCUACAGCGCAUGAUCCUUGGGCGCAUGGUUUUUAUUUAGCUUGUUUAGCUUUUAAGAGUAGAUGCUGGAAAACAGCGGAAACACGAUUUAGGCGACUGGGACACUGAAAGAGACAUCACAACAGGAAGGCGGUUUAGAUGUGGCACUUCAACCUGAAAAACUGAACUGUUGCAUGAAAACGACAGAGCAGAAGCAUUCGACGGUGGUGAAAAAGUGAAGUGGCAGCAGUGGUGAUGAUGUUGACAUAUAUGAAUGAUUGUGGCGUGCGCCCGCCCCCCCGGGCC